rnacentral:rRNA from 1 species
UACGAAGGGGGCUAGCGUUGUUCGGAAUUACUGGGCGUAAAGGGCUCGUAGGCGGCCAACUAAGUCAGACGUGAAAUCCCUCGGCUUAACCGGGGAACUGCGUCUGAUACCGGAUGGCUCGAGUUUGGGAGAGGGAUGCGGAAUUCCAGGUGUAGCGGUGAAAUGCGUAGAUAUCUGGAGGAACACCGGUGGCGAAGGCGGCAUCCUGGACCAACACUGACGCUGAUGAGCGAAAGCCAGGGGAGCAAACGGG